UGAGGAAUAUUGGUCAAUGGCCGAAGGGCUGAACCAGCCAAGCCGCGUGAGGGAUGAAGGUGCUAAGCAUUGUAAACCUCUUUUGUCAGGGGAUAAAAUGACGUUUGCGAACGUCACUGAAGGUACCUGAAGAAAAAGCAUCGGCUAACUCCGUGCCAGCAGCCGCGGUAAUACGGAGGAUGCGAGCGUUAUCCGGAUUUAUUGGGUUUAAAGGGUGCGUAGGCGGCGAGUUAAGUCAGCGGUAAAAGCCCGGGGCUCAACCCCGGCGAGCCGUUGAAACUGGCUUGCUCGAGUUGGCGAGAGGUAUGCGGAAUGCGCGGUGUAGCGGUGAAAUGCUUAGAUAUCGCGCAGAACUCCGAUUGCGAAGGCAGCAUACUGGCGCCACACUGACGCUGAGGCACGAAAGCGUGGGGAUCGAACAGG
rnacentral:rRNA from 1 species